GAUGAACGCUGGCGGCGUGCCUAAUACAUGCAAGUCGAGCGAACAGACGAGGAGCUUGCUCCUUUGACGUUAGCGGCGGACGGGUGAGUAACACGUGGGUAACCUACCUAUAAGACUGGGAUAACUUCGGGAAACCGGAGCUAAUACCGGAUAAUAUUUCGAACCGCAUGGUUCGAUAGUGAAAGAUGGCUUUGCUAUCACUUAUAGAUGGACCUGCGCCGUAUUAGCUAGUUGGUAAGGUAACGGCUUACCAAGGCAACGAUACGUAGCCGACCUGAGAGGGUGAUCGGCCACACUGGAACUUAGACACCGUCCAGGCUCCUAAGGGAGGCAGCAGUAGGGAAUCGUCCGCAAUGGGCGAAAGCCUGACGGAGCAACGGCGCGUGAGUGAUGAAGGUCUUCGGAGCGUAAAACUCUGUUAUUAGGGAAGAAUAAACGUGGAAGGUACUGUGCACGUCUUGACGGUACCUAAUCAGAAAGCCACGGCUAACUACGUG
rnacentral:rRNA from 1 species